rnacentral:rRNA from 1 species
CCUACGGGGGGCUGCAGUGAGGAAUAUUGGUCAAUGGACGAGAGUCUGAACCAGCCAAGUAGCGUGAAGGAUGACUGCCCUAUGGGUUGUAAACUUCUUUUAUAUGGGAAUAAAAUGUUCCACGUGUGGGAUUUUGUAUGUACCAUAUGAAUAAGGAUCGGCUAACUCCGUGCCAGCAGCCGCGGUAAUACGGAGGAUCCGAGCGUUAUCCGGAUUUAUUGGGUUUAAAGGGAGCGUAGGUGGAUUGUUAAGUCAGUUGUGAAAGUCUGCGGCUCAACCGUAAAAUUGCAGUUGAAACUGGCAGUCUUGAGUACAGUAGAGGUAGGCGGAAUUCGUGGUGUAGCGGUGAAAUGCUUAGAUAUCACGAAGAACUACGAUGGCGAAGGCAGUUCACUGGACUGCAACUGACACUGAGGCUCGAAAGUGUGGGUAUCAAACAGGAUUAGAUACCCCAGUAGUC